rnacentral:rRNA from 1 species
CGGGGUGCAGCAGGCGCGAAAACUCUACAAUGCAGGCAACUGCGAUAGGGGAACAUCGAGUGGCACCCACCAUGGGUGUCUGUCCAACCGUCUAAAAAACGGUUGUUAGCAAGGGCCGGGUAAGACCGGUGCCAGCCGCCGCGGUAAUACCGGCGGCUCGAGUGGUGGCCGAUAUUAUUGAGUCUAAAGGGUCCGUAGCUGGCUUUGCAAGUCCCCUGGGAAAUCCAGCGGCUUAACCGUUGGGCUUCCAUGGGAUACUACAUUGCUUGGGACUGGGAGAGGUAGGAGGUACUCAGGGGGUAGGGGUGAAAUCCUGUAAUCCUCUGGGGACCACCGGUGGCGAAGGCGUCCUACCAGAACAGGUCCGACAGUGAGGGACGAAAGCUAGGGGCACGAACCGGAUUAGAUACCCGGGUAGUCCUAGCCGUAAACGAUGCUCGCUAGGUGUCACGGCAGUCGUGAAUUGUCGUGGUGCCGUAGGGAAGCCGUGAAGCGAGCCACUUGGGAAGUACGACCGCAAGGUUGAAACUUAAAGGAAUUGGCGGGGGAGCAC